UACGUAGGGUGCAAGCGUUUAAUCGGAAUUACUGGGCGUAAAGCGUGCGCAGGCGGUUUUGUAAGUCAGAUGUGAAAUCCCCGGGCUCAACCUGGGAAUUGCGAUGGAGACUGCAAGGCUAGAAUCUGGCAGAGGGGGGUAGAAUUCCACGUGUAGCAGUGAAAUGCGUAGAGAUGUGGAGGAACACCGAUGGCGAAGGCAGCCCCCUGGGUCAAGAUUGACGCUCAUGCACGAAAGGCGUGGGGGACAAACAGG
rnacentral:rRNA from 1 species